CAUUUCAUAUCUUUCCCAAAAUGUUAAAGACUUUAUUU
rnacentral:sRNA from 1 species